UCACGUGUGUAUAUAAAAGCGACCAGGAGAGUGUAACGAUUUAUGACAUUGACAAAUAAAAAUUCCUCACCACUCUUAUUUUAUCACCAAAAUAUCGUUUUCAGACGCAUGGAUCGCGGUGUUUCAGCCACGAGGAACGCCAGAAAUAAACUUAGAAGUUUCCCAACGUAUUUAGCUGAGUGUCAGCCCCAGAUCACAGGAUAUGCCAGGUGCGUUGUGACAAAGUCAAGUGAUGUGCAGAAGCACGAAUGCGGGAAAGAGUUUGAAGCUCUGAAGAACUGUUUCGGGGAAGCCAUGAAAAAGGCCAAACCAAGAUGAUAGAGGGACAGGGAACAGGAUGCUAGGAUAUGUCUGAUGGAAUAUUCGAGACAGAGACAGAAAUGUUUGGACAUUUGAAAGAUAUUCUUGCUGGAUUUGUCUCGGUGAUGUGUCCCACAUGUGAAUGACCAAUCAAAUGAACAUUUCACGUUUUGGACAGUUCUGAAACGGAUGGCGAGAAUAAGAAAGAGUCUCCUAGAUCUCUGUUCUCCGUCUUUAAUGAUGUCAGGAGGGGAACAGGAGGUUACCUGAUCAGAUCUUAGCAGCCUUCAGAGAAUCGCCCCGAGACGAUUGCAUCAGGGC